rnacentral:lncRNA from 1 species
UGCCCUCACAAUCCUUAAAAGGUGAGACCCGUGGCCCUGGGGUCCUGCGGUCUGGCGGGCUUGGGAUGGUACCUCUGUGGCAUCAGCAUUGAGUAAGCAUGCCCUCAAGCCUUGAUCAUCACUGCGACAACCACAGCUGCAUUUCUGAGUGCCAUCUGGGGGACACCAUGCCAGUAAAAUAGGGAGCAGAACAGAACCUUCCUCCCCUGGCUGGGGGGCGGUCCGUGUGAAGUUCUUGGUGUCCAGUGGUGAGCAUGAGCCGUCCCUGCGAUGCCAAGCCUCUCCUUGCUGACGGCGGGGAUUGACGAUCCAGCUUAUGUGCCCUGCUCCCCUCUGCCUGCCCCUUCUCCCUGUCCCCAGGUCUCCCCUGUGGUGGGGGAUGCAGGUCCCGUUUUCCUAUGGGGCACUGGCUUUGGAGACCACCCCUGCCCCGACCCCUGUUCUCUGAUUCUAUCUAAGUGCUUAAUCUCUCCCCCCGACCCCUAUCCUCUGAUUCUAUCUAAGUGCCUAAUCUUUCCCAGCGGCAGCCCUGGGAGACAUCUCCUCUCUCGCUAUGGGGCUGCUGGGAUCUGUCUUCCCAACCUGACACUUCACAAGUCUGUCCCCUCUACUUUAUCCUCCCCCUAAGUAAAACUCCUUAAAACCGCGUUCCUGGAGCCGUCUGUUUUCCCUCCCCUGACGACACCUGGCUGCCUUCCUCCAGCCUGCGCCCCCUAGUCUCCCUCUUAUCUAAAUCCCAAGCCCUCCUGUCUCUCUUUGGGAGAUAAGGGUUCC